rnacentral:rRNA from 1 species
GAUGAACGCUGGCUACAGGCUUAACACAUGCAAGUCGAGGGGAAACGCCGGGGAAGCUUGCUUCCCCGGGCGUCGACCGGCGCACGGGUGAGUAACGCGUAUCCAACCUGCCUCUGACUGAGGGAUAACCCGUCGAAAGUCGGCCUAAUACCUCAUGGCAUCGUCUGCGGGCAUCCAACGACGAUUAAAGAUUUCAUCGGUCAGGGAUGGGGAUGCGUCUGAUUAGCUUGUUGGCGGGGUAACGGCCCACCAAGGCUACGAUCAGUAGGGGUUCUGAGAGGAAGGUCCCCCACAUUGGAACUGAGACACGGUCCAAACUCCUACGGGAGGCAGCAGUGAGGAAUAGUGGUCAAUGGGCGGGAGCCUGAACCAGCCAAGUAGCGUGCAGGAUGACGGCCCUAUGGGUUGUAAACUGCUUUUAUGCGGGGAUAAAGUGAGGGACGUGUCCUUCAUUGCAGGUACCGCAUGAAUAAGGACCGGCUAAUUCCGUG